UACGGAGGAUGCAAGCGUUAUCCGGAUUCAUUGGGUUUAAAGGGUGCGCAGGCGGAAUGAUAAGUCAGUGGUGAAAUCUCUCGGCUCAACUGAGAAACUGCCAUUGAUACUGUUGUUCUUGAGUACACUUGAAGUGGGCGGAAUGUGUCAUGUAGCGGUGAAAUGCUUAGAUAUGACACAGAACACCGAUCGCGAAGGCAGCUCACUAAAUUGUAACUGACGCUCAGGCACGAAAGCGUGGGGAUCAAACAGGAUUAGAUACCCUGGUAGUCCACGCCGUAAACGAUGAUCACUCGAUGUUGGCGAUAUACAGUCAGCGUCUAAGCGAAAGCAUUAAGUGAUCCACCUGGGGAGUACGGCCGCAAGGUUGAA
rnacentral:rRNA from 1 species